rnacentral:rRNA from 1 species
CAGUCGCCACGGUAAUACGAGGGGGGCAAGCGUUGUUCGGAAUUAUUGGGCGUAAAGGGUGCGUAGGCGGCCGUGCAAGUCUUGUGUGAAAUCCCGAAGCUCAACUUCGGGACUGCACGAGAAACUGCAUGGCUGGAGUAUGGGAGAGGUGAGUGGAAUUCCUGGUGUAGCGGUGAAAUGCGUAGAUAUCAGGAGGAACACCUGUGGCGAAAGCGGCUCACUGGACCAUAACUGACGCUGAGGCACGAAAGCUAGGGGAGCAAACAGGAUUAGAUACCCCCGUAGUCCCUGUCUCUUAUAC